GACGAACGCUGGCGGCGUGCUUAACACAUGCAAGUCGAACGGAAAGGCCCCCUUGUGGGGUACUCGAGUGGCGAACGGGUGAGUAACACGUGAGUAACCUACCCUUGACUGUGGGAUAACUUCAGGAAACGGGGGUUAAUACCGGAUAGGAGCUCCUGCUGCAUGGUGGGGGCUGGAAAGUUUCGGCGGUUGGGGCUGGACUCGCGGCUUAUCAGCUUGUUGGGGGGGUAGUGGCUCACCAAGGCUUUGACGGGUAGCCGACCUGAGAAGGUAACCGGCCACAUUGGGACUGAGAUACGGCCCAGACUCCUACGGGAGGCAGCAGUGGGGAAUAUUGCACAAUGGGCGGAAGCCUGAUGCAGCAGCGCCGCGUGCGGGAUGACGGCCUUCGGGUUGUAAACCGCUUUCGCCUGUGACGAAGCGUGAGUGACGGUAAUGGGUAAAGAAGCACCGGCUAACUACGUG
rnacentral:rRNA from 1 species